CGCAUCGUUGCAGUGAGACGUAAUUUUGUUGGAAGUUAAUUUAAAGUCAGUUGGAAAGACACUAUGCUUCCUAGGACAAGACUGUAGGCUACAGUAGUAUAC